UGAUCUUCAUUACAAAUUAGGAUUGGGUGU
rnacentral:piRNA from 1 species